AACUGGUCGCGAGAUCAGUCGAUAACCCAAGAGACCUUAGGUCGGACUCCUGGAUUAUCUCCUCAUCAGGCUAAUCACGGUUUUUGACCCGGCUUUUUGCCGGGUCUUUUUUUU
rnacentral:sRNA from 2 species